ACAGCUAAUCACAUCAAGGAUGAACUUGUCACCAAUAGCCCUCUACAUGGUCCAACUGUGCCAGAACGUAGAAUGGGUCCUGGUCUUUCUCUUACAUAACAUAGCAUAACAUAACAGUCCAACUGUGCCAGAACGUAGAAUGGGUCCUGGUCUUUCUCUUACAUAACAUAGCAUAACAUAACAGUCCAACUGUGCCAGAAUGUAGAAUGGGUCCUGGUCUUUCUCUUACAUAGUGCCAGCGAACUUAGAAUGGGUC
rnacentral:lncRNA from 1 species